rnacentral:rRNA from 1 species
GACGAACGCUGGCGGCGUGCCUAAUACAUGCAAGUAGAACGCUGAAGAGAGGAGCUUGCUCUUCUUGGAUGAGUUGCGAACGGGUGAGUAACGCGUAGGUAACCUGCCUGGUAGCGGGGGAUAACUAUUGGAAACGAUAGCUAAUACCGCAUAAAAUUGAUUAUUGCAUGAUAAUUAAUUGAAAGAUGCAAUUGCAUCACUACCAGAUGGACCUGCGUUGUAUUAGCUAGUUGGUGAGGUAACGGCUCACCAAGGCGACGAUACAUAGCCGACCUGAGAGGGUGAUCGGCCACACUGGGACUGAGACACGGCCCAGACUCCUACGGGAGGCAGCAGUAGGGAAUCUUCGGCAAUGGGGGGAACCCUGACCGAGCAACGCCGCGUGAGUGAAGAAGGUUUUCGGAUCGUAAAGCUCUGUGUAAGAGAAGAACGGGUGUGAGAGUGAAAAGUUUCAC